UUACGGCCAUACCACAUUGAAAUACACGUUCCCUUGAAGUUAAGCAACGUCGAGCAUGGUCAGUACCUAGAUGGGUGACCGUUUGGGAAUCCCAGUUUUUG